GCCGAACGGGAUUCAGGCCCGAAAUGCAAAUUGGAUUAAAUUAUUUGGCAUUUUAAUGUUGGUGAAUAAUCUGAAAUUAAUUGGGUUUUAAUUGUGCAUGAAAUGCCAUUUUUGCUCUUGUAUGUUAAAGUGAAUGUUAAUUGGCCCUAAGGGCAUUUUGGUCAUUUGACCUCUUUCUAUUACAUUUGGAAAAAAAUGAAUUUUAUUAAGAAAAAUCAAAGUAAAUUCUGGGUUAUUCCUCUUCUUCACCCGACCCCUCUCUCUCUCUUUAGCUCUUUGAAUUUUCAAAAUUUCUUUGGUGAAUUGCUUGGGUUUAGCUUGAAAUUGAAGUGAAAGUGUUGGUGAUUCUUGUGCUAGCCCUUAAAGUGAUUCUUGAGGAUUACCGGCACCUGAUCAGGAGCACCCGGUGAUUUGGAAUCUCUAGCAUUGCAGGACAUCAGGAAAGGGUAAGACAUUAGCUGAUCAACCAUGAGUUUCAGGAGCUGGGCGAGGAAUGUACAUGUUCAUGCCACUUCAGACCAAGCGGGUUAUGGGUCUAACAGUUUUGACUUUUGUAUUCUAUUUUGCCGCUUAGGUCGGCUAGAAAGAAAGGACUUGUAAUAAGUUUGUAAAUAUUUUUGGGAUCCCAAUGGUUUAAAAGUUUAAAAGUAUUACAAGUUUUAUUUUCAUUCCGAUUAA